GACGAACGCUGGCGGCGUGCUUAACACAUGCAAGUCGAACGGAAAGGCCCUGCUUUUGUGGGGUGCUCGAGUGGCGAACGGGUGAGUAACACGUGAGUAACCUGCCCUUGACUUUGGGAUAACUUCAGGAAACUGGGGCUAAUACCGGAUAGGAGCUCCUGCUGCAUGGUGGGGGUUGGAAAGUUUCGGCGGUUGGGGAUGGACUCGCGGCUUAUCAGCUUGUUGGUGGGGUAGUGGCUUACCAAGGCUUUGACGGGUAGCCGGCCUGAGAGGGUGACCGGCCACAUGGGGACUGGGAUACGGCCCAGACUCCUCCGGGGGGCAGCGGGGGGGAAUUUUGCACAAGGGGCGGAAGCCUGAUGCAGCAACGCCGGGUGGGGGAUGACGGCCUUCGGGUUGUAAACCGUUUUCGCCGGUGACGAAGCGGGGGUGACGGUAAUGGGUAAAGAAGCACCGGCUAACUACGU
rnacentral:rRNA from 1 species